GUGCCAGCCGCCGCGGUAAUACGGAGGGUUCAAGCGUUAUCCGGAUUUAUUGGGUUGAAAGAGUGCGUAGGUGGUUUAUUAAGUCAGUGGUGAAAUCCUACAGCUCAACUGUAGAACUGCCAUUGAUACUGGUAAACUUGAGUUUGGUUGAGGUAAGCGGAAUUUAUGAUGUAGCGGUGAAAUGCAUAGAUAUCAUAAGGAACACCAAUAGCGUAGGCAGCUUACUGGACCAAUACUGACACUGAGGCACGAAAGCGUGGGUAGCGAACAGGAUGAGAUACCCUGGUAGUCCACGCCGUAAACGAUGCUCACUCGAUGUUAGCGAUAUACUGUUAGCGUCCAAGCUAAAGCGUUAAGUGAGCCACCUGGGUAGUACGCAGGCAACGGGGAAACUCAAAGAAAUUGACGG
rnacentral:rRNA from 1 species